rnacentral:rRNA from 1 species
UGCAAGUCGAACGAGGUGCUUUUGUAGCAAUACGAAAGUAUCCUAGUGGCGAACGGGUGAGUAACGCGUUGGUGACCUACCCCAAAGUGUGGGAUAACAGUUCGAAAGAACUGCUAAUACCGCAUGUGGUUAUUGGAUUUAGAAACUGAUAACUAAAGGAGUAAUUCGCUUUGGGAGGGACCUGCGUCCCAUCAGCUAGUUGGUGAGGUAAUGGCUCACCAAGGCUACGACGGGUAGGGGACCUGAGAGGGUGACCCCCCACAAUGGAACUGAAACACGGUCCAUACACCUACGGGUGGCAGCAGUAGGGAAUAUUGCACAAUGGGCGAAAGCCUGAUGCAGCAACGCCGCGUGCGCGAUGAAGGCCUUCGGGUCGUAAA